rnacentral:rRNA from 1 species
CAAACGGGUGCGGAACACGUACGCAACCUUCCUUUAACUGGAGGAUAGCCCCUCGAAAGAGGGAUUAAUACUCCGUAACAUAAUGAAGUGGCAUCACUUUAUUAUUAUAGCUCCGGCGGUUAAAGAUGGGCGUGCGCCUGAUUAGAUAGUUGGCGGGGUAACGGCCCACCAAGUCUGCGAUCAGUAACUGGUGUGAGAGCACGACCAGUCACACGGGCACUGAGACACGGGCCCG